rnacentral:rRNA from 1 species
CCUACGGGAGGCAGCAGUGAGGAAUAUUGGUCAAUGGACGAGAGUCUGAACCAGCCAAGUAGCGUGAAGGAUGACUGCCCUAUGGGUUGUAAACUUCUUUUAUAAAGGAAUAAAACGAGGCACGUGUGCCUUUUUGCAUGUACUUUAUGAAUAAGGAUCGGCUAACUCCGUGCCAGCAGCCGCGGUAAUACGGAGGAUCCGAGCGUUAUCCGGAUUUAUUGGGUUUAAAGGGAGCGUAGAUGGGUUGUUAAGUCAGUUGUGAAAGUUUGCGGCUCAACCGUAAAAUUGCAAUUGAGACUGGCAGUCUUGAGUACAGUUGAGGUAGGCGGAAUUCGGGGUGUAGCGGUGAAAUGCUUAGAUAUCACGAAGAACCCCGAUUGCGAAGGCAGCUUACUAAACUGUGACUGACAUUGAUGCUCGAAAGUGUGGGUAUCGAACAGGAUUAGAUACCCGUGUAGUC